UCGGUCCCGGUUCACGUCCAUCUGAAUUGCGGGCGACCCGGGCC
rfam:Mycobacterium sp. VKM Ac-1817D, complete genome.